rnacentral:rRNA from 1 species
AUGAAAACAAAUGGUUGGAAGGAAAAAUUAUUAUCCGUUGGAGGGAAGAAAAUUCUCCUCAAGUCUGGUGUUCAAGCUAUUCCUACGUAUAAAUUAUCGGUCUUUAAAAUUCCUAAAAAGAUUUAUAAAGAAAUUAUUGAUGCGAUGUUGCAUUUUUUUUGGGGAGAUGAGGACAACCGAAGGAGGAUUCAUUGGAUGGCUUGGUAAAAAAUAUGUGUCCCAACGAAUCAAGGAGGCAUGGCUUUUUUAUGAUAUUCAUUGUCUCAGCCCGGCUAUGCUGGCAAACAGGCUUUAUGCCUUCUCGAGAACCCUGAGUCUUUAUGUGCUACUGUUUUGAGAGUUAAGUACUUUCCUAAUGUCGAUUUACUGAAUACAAAGUUAAAAAGGCUCCUCGUUUAG